rnacentral:rRNA from 1 species
GGGUCAGUAGGUUGGUCGUGCCACCGGUACGUACUGGUCUCACUGAUUCCUCCUUCCUGAAGAACCGUAAUGCCAUUAAUUUGGUGUUGCGGGUAAACAGGACUGUUACUUUGAAAAAAUUAGAGUGUUUAAAGCAAGCUAACGCUUGAAUACAUUAGCAUGGAAUAAUGAAAUAGGACGAUCGAUCCUAUUUUGUUGGUUUCUAGUAUUGACGUA